CUGGUAGAAUUUCUUAUAUAGAACACGGUUUACUCUGAAAGUUUUUGACAAAAGUUUGUAGUUUAGAAGUUAUUUCGUGUUAAAGUUGUCGUAUUUGGGAAAUUUCAACCAAUCAAAAACGUGUCUUCUACUAUAGCCUCGGGCCGACCAAAGCCUUGUGAGUGGAUUUGGUAGG